rnacentral:snoRNA from 1 species
GUUGAGUAUGACUCCUGUGGCCUGGCCCGGGGUUCAGGCUGCAGACCCAGAGCUUGUGCUUGUGCAUAACUGGGACCCCAGGCGUGGGGUCCUUUCAACUGCCAGCGACAAGG